UCCAUCCUGAAAUGCUUAGUCCUUAGGCCUU
rnacentral:piRNA from 1 species